CGGAGGGGGGCACCCGGGACAGGACGGCCGGGGUGGGCCGCCGGGCCCUGCUCGCUGGAAGGGCUGCCCUGUGAACAGCCUGGCAUGACUCGGCCGUGUGCCUGUCACUGCUGUCAUUUCUGUCCGUUUGCCGGCUCGACACUGUAUCUCCUCCCCUGAUUUGUCUGCAUCUUCACUGCCUGAAAUCAAGAGGCAAAAGAGACUUGAGCAAGAUACACGAGGACUGCUUGAGCCCCACAGGACGGCGUUUCAAGUGCUGGGUUGCCUUACUCCCAGCACAGGUGUUGGCGAAUGUAGCCCCUCCGUCAGGUCUCAGCCCUCUGUGUGCUGGGGGCGCCCUCUGGUCUCCUGUCCUCCCAGCUGGGCCUCCGGCUGACCUGUUCUGACGUUCCUCCGGGGAGCAAUCUUCCUGCGGCUCGGUCCCCGAUGGUGGCAGAUGGUGGCUUGCUUGAGGACACUGGGCGGGACUGGGGAGGAAGGCUUGUCAUUCUUACAUCUUCAUCUGCACCUGCCCAGUCUCUAGACUGGGUGUCCUCUCCUGGCCCCAGACCUCCCUCUUUGGUUACUCCUGUGGUUCUGCGCUGUCAGCGUAGCCCCUAGGUGUGGUCAUGCCCAGAGCCUCUCCCACCUUACCCGUUCAUGUGUUUUGUUCUGUUGCCUGUUUUGUAGUUGUUUUGGUGGUUUUAUUGUGUGUGUGUCUGUACCUGGGCUUGUAUGUGUGUGUAUAAUCUAAAUAAUAUACUGUUUGCUUCUAAUUAUUUAUAAACUUUAUGGGAAGCUUGUGCUUUAUGUAGCAACUUGGAAUUAACUUUUUUUCACUCAAUAUUAUGUUGUAAAUAUCAACUCAAAUUUAUGUAGUUAUUUAGUUAAGCCAUUUUCAUUGCUCUGUACUAUUCCACUAUAUGAAUAUGUCAUAGAACUUGGAUUGUUUUUAAACUUUUGCUGUUAACCACAAUACCGUUACGACUAUUCUU